GGAUUAGCAGUCCCACCCUCCCUGCAAUUCUCAGAAUGGGUCCUGGUUCAUCCAUGGGGUCCACAAGGGCUCGACAAAUAACUAAUGAUGUCUUGUCAAUAUAGGCUACAACUGGAUUCUAAAAUGUGUAUGACAAGAACUUCAUUAAUGAAAACAAAACCUUCUUUAUCACUGCAUAGUCACUAACCUAGAGAGGAAGAAGCUACUCCAGCCAGAGAUUCUAUAUUAUAUAGGGAGAGAACAUAUUUCCAUACAUUUGGUGAUAAGGGUUGGAUUUUCAUCAAGCCAUUUCCUAGAACUUCCUUUGGCACAAAGAACAAGCAUUCUGUUCUCAUCUUGAAAGUUUUUGCACAUAAGCCAGCAGUAAGCCAGCAAACUACUAUGAUCCUUCUCCCAAACAGGAAACCCAUUGGACAGAAUGUAAUAUCAACAGAUCAAGAAAUAACUGGAUGAACACAAUUGUCCAGAAGAAACAACUCCUUCCACCGUCUUCAGAAAGGAGGUACUGAGACGAAGGGAAGAGGCCCUGGUUUGCUCACCAGUCUCACCUGACCACAGAGCUUCUGAGACCUACCAUGACUCUGGGACAAAGGAUCAUUCACAUAUCUGGGGUGAAGGACGUUUGAAAUUUGGAGAGCAAAUGUGAUAUGCUUAAUGCUAUGACUUCCAAAUGAGCAUUGAGCGUAAUUUUGUAAAAGUCCAUAUCCACUGAAGUUCCUAACUAGUCAGAAUUUGAAGUAGAAUAAAUAUA